rnacentral:rRNA from 1 species
CCUACGGGUGGCUGCAGUCGGGAAUCAUUCACAAUGGGGGAAACCCUGAUGCAGCGAAGCCGCGUGAGCGAUGAAGUAUUUCGGUAUGGAAAGCUCUAUCAGCAGGGAAGAAAAUGACGGUACCUGUCUCUGAAGCACCGGCUAACUACGUGCCAGCACCCGCGGUAACACGUAGGGGGCAAGCGUUCUCCGGAUUGACUGGGUGUAAAGGGAGCGUAGUCGGCUGUGCAAGCCAGAUGUGAAAGCACGGGGCUCAACCCCGGGACUGCAGUUGGAACUGUGUGGCUGGAGUGUCGGAGAGGCAGGCGGAAUUCCUAGUGUAGCGGUGAAAUGCGUAGAUAUUAGGAGGAACACCAGUGGCGAAGGCGGCCUGCUGGACGAUGACUGACGUUGAGGCUCGAAAGCGUGGGGAGCAAACAGGAUUAGAUACCCGUGUAGUC